CAGCACCUCAAGUGGUCAGGAUGAUUAUUGGGCCUAAAGCAUCCGUAGCCGGCGCUGUAAGUUUUCGGUUAAAUCUGUACGCUCAACGUACAGGCUGCCGGGAAUACUGCAGCGCUAGGGAGUGGGAGAGGUAGACGGUACUCGGAAGGAAGGGGUAAAAUCCUUUGAUUUAUUGAUGACCACCUGUGGCGAAGGCGGUCUACCAGAACACGUCCGACGGUGAGGGAUGAAAGCUGGGGGAGCGAACCGGAUUAGAUACCCGAGUAGUCC
rnacentral:rRNA from 1 species